rnacentral:rRNA from 1 species
GAUGAGCCUGCGUCCGAUUAGCUAGUUGGUGAGGUAAAGGCUCACCAAGGCGACGAUCGGUAACUGGUUUGAGAGAACGACCAGUCACACUGGGACUGAGACACGGCCCAGACUCCUACGGGAGGCAGCAGUGGGGAAUCUUGGACAAUGGGGGAAACCCUGAUCCAGCGACGCCGCGUGUGUGAAGAAGGCCUUCGGGUUGUAAAGCACUUUCGGCAGGGACAAACAAGACGGAGCUAACAUCUCCGUUCCUGAUGGUACCUGAAGAAGAAGCACCGGCUAACUCUGUGCCAGCAGCCGCGGUAAUACAGAGGGUGCGAGCGUUAAUCGGAAUUACUGGGCGUAAAGCGUGUGUAGGUGGUUUGUUAAGUCAGAUGUGAAAUCCCUGGGCUCAACCUAGGAAUUGCAUUUGAUACUGGCAAGCUUGAGUGCGGUAGAGGGUAGUGGAACUCCCGGUGUAGCGGUGAAAUGCGUAGAUAUCGGGAAG